rnacentral:rRNA from 1 species
GACGAACGCGGCGGCGUGCUUAACACAUGCAAGUUGAACGGAGCGAAUGAAAGCUUGCUUUUAUAAGCUUAGUGGCAAACGGGUGAGUAACACGUAGACAACCUGCCGACAGGAUGGGGACAACAUUCCGAAAGGAAUGCUAAUACCGAAUGAAGUGCAGGGGAGGCAUCUCCCCUGCAUGAAAGAUGGCCUCUAUAUAUAUGCUAUCACCUGUUGAUGGGUCUGCGUCUGAUUAGCUGGUAGGUGAGGUAACGGCUCACCUAGGCGACGAUCAGUAGCCGGUCUGAGAGGAUGAACGGCCACAUUGGGACUGAGACACGGCCCAGACUCCUACGGGAGGCGGCAGUGGGGAAUCUUCCGCAAUGGGCGCAAGCCCUGACGGAGCAACGCCCGCGUGAGUGAAAGAAAGGGUCUUUCGGGAUCGUAAAAGCUCUGUGAAUGGGG